rnacentral:sRNA from 1 species
CAACAAGUGCCACCAGCAACAACAGCAGCGGAAAUUGCAGCCCAAAUUGAUGGCGACGAAAACACAUAUUGAUUGCCUUGCACGUUAUGUUUAAUAAAAAUCAACAAUUGCAACUUAAAAUGCCGAUGAAGACGUCAGCGUUUAGCCACAGCGUUGCCACAUCGAAAAACUGUUCACACGUCCAUUGCCAAAAGUUUACCACAGUCAAAAUUUACGUUAUUUUCAAAUUUAUGAAAUAAAUGGUUGUAUUGUCUUUUUAA